ACGAACGCUGGCGGCGUGCUUAACACCUGCAAGUCGAACGGUGAAGCGCCUUCCUUUUUGGUGGGUGUGGAUGAGUGGCGCACGGGUGAGUAACACGUGAGUAACCUGCCCCCUUCUUCUGGAUAACCGCAUGAAAGUGUGGCUAAUACGGGAUAUUCUGGGUCUGUCGCAUGAUGGGUCUGGGAAAGAUAUUGUUUCGGUGGGGGACGGGCUCGCGGCCUAUCAGCUUGUUGGUGGGGUGAUGGCCUACCAAGGCGGUGACGGGUAGCCGGCCUGAGAGGGUGGACGGUCACACUGGGACUGAGACACGGACCAGACUCCUACGGGAGGCAGCAGUGGGGAAUAUUGCACAAUGGGCGCAAGCCUGAUGCAGCGACGCCGCGUGAGGGAUGGAGGCCUUCGGGUUGUGAACCUCUUUCGCCAGUGAAGCAGGCCUGCCUCGUUUGUGGGUGGGUUGACGGUAGCUGGAUAAGAAGCGCCGGCUAACUACGU
rnacentral:rRNA from 1 species